UGCAUCGGCCGGAAUCGAACCCGGGCCGCCCGCGUGGCAGGCGAGCAUUCUACCUGAACCACCGAUGG
rnacentral:tRNA from 1 species